CCUACGGGUGGCAGCAGUGAGGAAUAUUGGUCAAUGGACGCAAGUCUGAACCAGCCAUGCCGCGUGCAGGAAGACGGCUCUAUGAGUUGUAAACUGCUUUUGUACGAGGGUAAACGCAGAUACGCGUAUCUGUCUGCAAGUAUCGUACGAAUAAGGAUCGGCUAACUCCGUGCCAGCAGCCGCGGUAAUACGGAGGAUUAAAGCGUUAUCCGGAUUUAGUGGGUUUAAAGGGUGCGUAGGCGGUCGGAUAAGUUAGAGGUGAAAUCCCGAGGCUCAACUUCGGAAUUGCCUCUGAUACUGGUCGGCUAGAGAGUAGUUGCGGUAGGCGGAAUGUAUGGUGUAGCGGUGAAAUGCUUAGAGAUCAUACAGAACACCGAUUGCGAAGGCAGCUUACCAAGCUACUUCUGACGUUGAGGCACGAAAGCGUGGGGAGCAAACAGGAUUAGAUACCCGAGUAGUC
rnacentral:rRNA from 1 species